rnacentral:other from 1 species
ACGGUUAUAAAUCAACAUAUUGAUUUAUAAGCAUGGAAACCCCCUGAGUGAAACAACGAAUUGCUGUGUGUAGUCUUUGCCCAUCUCCCACGAUGGGCUUUUUUUUAA